rnacentral:rRNA from 1 species
UUGCCUCUUGGUCUGGGACAACUGUUGGAAACGACAGCUAAUACCGGAUAUUAUGAGAUUCUCGCAUGGGAAACUUAUGAAAGCUAUAUGCGCCAAGAGAGAGCCUUGCGUUCCAUUAGCUAGUUGGUGGGGUAACGGCCCACCAAGGCGACGAUGGAUAGCCGGCCUGAGAGGGUGAACGGCCACAAGGGGACUGAGACACGGCCCUUACUCCUACGGGAGGCAGCAGUGGGGAAUAUUGGACAAUGGGCCACAAGCCUGAUCCAGCAAUUCUGUGUGCACGAUGAAGGCCUUCGGAUUGUAAAGUGCUUUCAGUUGGGAAGAAGAAAGUGACGGUACCAACAGAAGAAGCGACGGCUAAAUACGUGCCAGCAGCCGCGGUAAUACGUAUGUCGCAAGCGUUAUCCGGAUUUAUUGGGCGUAAAGCGCGUCUAGGCGGAAAAAUAAGUCUGAUGUUAAAAUGCGGGGCUCAACUCCGUAUUGCGUUGGAAACUGUUUUUCUAGAGUACUGGAGAGGUGGGCGGAACUACAAGUGUAGAGGUGAAAUUCGUAGAUAUUUGUAGGAAUGCCGAUGGAGAAGUCAGCUCACUGGACAGAUACUGACGCUAAAGCGCGAAAGCGUGGGGAGCAAACAGGA